AGUUGCUGGUGAACGCAGCGGGCCAGGCAGCAUCUCUAGGAAGAGGUGCAGUCGACGUUUCGGGCCGAGACCCUUCGUCAGGACUAACUGAAGGAAGAGCCAAGUUGCUAGCUUGAUGCUCAACCCUGCAGAGAUGGAAAGCGUGCAAGGAGCCAGCCGGAUUUGAAGCCGGGACCAAUUGCCUCGAAGCCAGGGGACCGUGCACAAUCCUGAUUUGAUGGAGACAGAUGUGAGUGCACAGUGGAACAUCUGGAAAACUUCUGAAAUGUCUGCUUUGCUACCGCUGCUACUGUGUGGUAACCGGAAUCUCUGGAGCUGAAGGCCCCGAAAUCCUCAGCUUUGUGUGUGUCAGCGGCCGGGGCGAGGUCGAAGGCGUUUGGCAGAGGAUGGCACUCAGGAGGCUGUAUCGGAGAGGCUGCUCGGAAGCUCGGAGUUUUCGGAUGGAUGGACUCAGGGUCGGCUGGGGUUGGCUGCUUCCAAGGUAUCGGCAAGUGGACGGUGCCUGGAGGUUUAUGGCAGGGGGUUUCUCCCUUUUGCCGCCUGCUAUCGGGGACUUGGAAGUUGAUCGACUCGGGACUUUGAGAACUUUUUUUUACUGUGCCUAUGGUCUGUUCUUUAUCAAAUUAUGGUAUUGCUUUGCACUGCUGUAACUAUAUGUUAUAAUUAUGUGGUUUUGACAGUGGUAGUCUUUGGUCUGUCUUGUUUUCUGUGCUAUCACUCCAGAGAAACACUGUAUCAUUUCUUAAUGCAUGUGUGCAUUUCUAAAUGACAAUAAAAGAGGACUGAGUGUUCUCAUAAUCUAAGUCAUCUCAUGAGCAUUCUACAAAUUCUCUCUCUAGAGAUACAGCACCAACCUAAUUUUCCCAAUCUAUCUGCAUAUUGAAAUCCCCCAUGACUAUCAUAACAUUGACCUUCUGACAUGUUUUCUAUCUAGUAUUGUAAUUUGUAACCCACAUCCUAACUACUGUUAGGAGGCCUGUGUAUAACUUCCACCAGUGUCUUUUUAACCUUGCAGUUUCUUAACUCUACCCAUAGAACCAUAGAACCAUAGAAACUACAGCACAGAAACAGGCCCUUUGGCCCUUCUUGGCUGUGCCGAACCAUUUUCUGCCUAGUCCCACUGACCUGCACACGAACCAUAUCCCUCCAUACACCUCCCAUCCAUGUAUCUGUCCAAUUGAUUCUUAAAUGUUGAAAAAGAACCUGCAUUUACCACCUCGUCUGGCAGCUCAUUCCAUACUCCCACCACUCUCUUUGUGAAGAAGCCCCCACUAAUGUUCCCUUUAAACUUUUCCCCCCUCACCCUUAACCCAUGUCCUCUGGUUUUUUUCUCCCC